rnacentral:lncRNA from 1 species
UCCUAGGUAUUGAAGAAAGAGCUAAGAAUGUGCCUUCUUGACUUAUGCCCUCACUUCUUGAUUUAAGAUUGUUCUUGCCCUCAGCUUUACCAAUACAGAACCUCGACAAAAUAGAAGGGUCAGAGCCAGCACUGGGAGGAAGACAUCCUAGGUUCAUGAAGCCUUGACACUCUAUGAAACGCCUUCCACACUCACUUAAUGAGCACUUGUGCUGUGUCAGACUCUCCAUGUCACCGUGGGAUGCCUGGCUGUCCGGAGCGGAGCGUCACUCUCUCCACCACAUUCCUUGCUUCAUUGACUUCCAUCUAAUAUAAACCCUAGACUGUCCACCUGCGCAUACUUAACAACAGUAUCACUUCGUGAUAGCUAAUUGUGGUUGUCAACUUGACUGCACCUGCAAUCAACCGAAACCCAAGCUACUGAGCACUCUGUGAGGGAUUUUCUUGAUCAAAUCAUUUGAAACAAGAAGUCCCUUCCUAAAUCUCCAUGGCACCUUCUGUGGCAGCCCUCACAGGACACAGAAAAAGGAAACUUUGCCUUUUGCCUGCUUGCCUUCAACCUCAGUGGCAAGGCUCCCUAUUCUUUUUUUUUUUUUUUUGGUCUUUUUUUUUUUUCAGAGCU